CGUGUAGGCGGACCGAUAAGUCAGAUGUGAAAUCCCUGGGCUCAACCUAGGAACUGCAUUUGAAACUGUCGGUCUUGAGUGAUGGAGAGGAAAGCGGAAUUCCCGGUGUAGAGGUGAAAUUCGUAGACAUCGGGAGGAACACCAGUGGCGAAGGCGGCUUUCUGGACAUUUACUGACGCUGAGACGCGAAAGCGUGGGGAGCAAACA
rnacentral:rRNA from 1 species